GGGUGAUUAACAGGGGAAGAAUUAGGAAAGAGGACACGCAAGACCACAGUAAGAGAUGGAAAUAAGAGAAGGCACAUUUCUUUGUAAAGAAAAGGCCUCCUUAGAAUCAUAUUGGCUUUGUCUCGGGGAGCAGGAGAAGUUGGGGUGUCACCAUUUCCACUCAUCAGGAUUUGCCCUUUCCAUCAUUGAAAUCUUUGGUGUUGAACAAUUGUGUUAGUUCAUGGAGCAUAAAGAGCUUCACUUUGAAGUGCAUUCCAGGAAUAUUCCUGAUUUCCAUUGGAUGACUUUGACUGGUAUGAUUUCCUUCUCUGAAAGUGUAAACCAGGGUUCAGCAUGGCCAGAAACCAUUCUGAGCCUCAUGAAGUGGGCAAGUCAGGUUUGGUCAUUUUUGAUAGGACCUUGACUUCCAAAUUAAUAUUUGCCUUGUAAGACUCAGAAACAGCUCCAUCAGGGGAGACCGAGGG
rnacentral:lncRNA from 1 species